CCCAGACUCCUACGGGAGGCAGCAGUGGGGAAUAUUGCACAAUGGGGGGAACCCUGAUGCAGCGACGCCGCGUGGGUGAAGGAGUACUUCGGUACGUAAAGCCCUAUCAGCAGGAAAGAAAAUGACGGUACCUGACUAAGAAGCCCCGGCUAACUACGUGCCAGCAGCCGCGGUAAUACGUAGGGGGCAAGCGUUAUCCGGAUUUACUGGGUGUAAAGGGAGCGUAGACGGCAGUGCAAGUCCGGAGUGAAAGCCCGGGGCUCAACCCUGGGACUGCUCUGGAAACUGUAAAGCUGGAGUGCGGGAGGGGCAGGCGGAAUUCCUGGUGUAGCGGUGAAAUGCGUAGAUAUCAGGAGGAACACCGGCGGCGAAGGCGGCCUGCUGGACCGUGACUGACGUUGAGGCUCGAGAGCGUGGGGAGCAAACAGGAUUAGAUACCCCCGUA
rnacentral:rRNA from 1 species